rnacentral:rRNA from 1 species
GACGAACGCUGGCGGCGUGCUUAACACAUGCAAGUCGAACGAAGUGGCGAACGGGUGAGUAACGCGUAAUAAACCUGCCCUUCAGAGGGGGACAACAGUGGGAAACGACUGCUAAUACCGCAUACUGAAGGAGGGGAUUGCGUCUGAUUAGCUAGUUGGAGGGGUAACGGCCACCCAAGGCGAUGAUCAGUAGCCGGUCUGGUGGGAUGAACGGCCACAUGUGGACUGAGACACGGCCCCGAAUCCUACGGGAGGCAGGAGGGGGGAAUUUUCCGCAAUGGACGAAAGUCUGACGGAGCAACGCCGCGUGAGUGAUGACGGCCUUCGGGUUGUAAAGCUCUGUUAAUCGGGACGCGGUACCGGAAUAGAAAGCCACGGCUAACUACGUGCCAGCAGCCGCGGUAAUUC